UUCAAUCAUUAUCUUUUCUCCUGCUGUGGAAAGAGACAGUAAGAAACACGAUACCAGAAGACGCUAGUGCCAGUGCCCGCACCACAAGUAAGAGACAGCGUGUGAACCAACAGCUCUUCUUCAAGUCCUCACAGCAGCAGGACAAGACAGAUGACUAGAGGCGCUGAAGGGACAGAAAGCCACAGCUUGCUAGAAAUUAGAAGAUAAAUAUCUCCUCAACAAAAAGAUUGUCCUGUGAGAACUGCCUAUGAAUCGCGUUCUCCUGCCGCCCCUGCCUUAUGCUGCCUGGUUUAUUAAUAGAAGGCCUCGCCACGUGGCAAUUCAAAUGGUGAGUAAAGGUGAAAAAGCAAAGCUGCUGGCAGAUAACAUACAAGCUGCUCAGAAGAAAUGACAUAGGCUCACUCUUCCCUCAAAAAACUAAAGCAUUUAGAGAAGCUCAUCAAGUUUAAUUGUACAGUUCAGAGUGAUUUUGCUUUGCUGUUGUGCACUUUUUUUUCUGUUGGAUCAAUUCUUGCACAGCCAAAGCUGGACACCAUUUUUUUUAAAGAAUGUGUGUGUGUGUAUAAACAGAGUGAAAACAAUUCAAAGGAUUAAGCAGCAAAGAAGGGUAUGAAUUACAAGUAUUUCACCCCAAUUAUGUGCCAAAUUUCCAAUUUUCUAUCUUCUGAUACUUUCUCCUGCAGCAGCUCUUUUUAAUUAAAAUAAAUGAAGAACUUGUUCUUAUUUACAUCUCUGUACACUAAAGUUCAGGGAUCUCAAGAGAGACCAUGACAAACCUGGAAGGAUCUCCAAAGAGCUUUUCAGCAGCAAUGUGGCAUACUGUCAAGAGUGGGAAAGCUGGCCAACUGGCAAAAACAACAGUUUUAAAUGUACUUGGCCAGGCGAGGCCUGUAAAAACAAGAUGCUUUGUCAGCCAAUGCAAUGGGCACUUAUGUUCAUAACAACUCCUUUUUUUGCUGAGUUUUCUAAGAACAAAUCACUUGCUGAUGUUGACAUCCGAGUGCUCUGAAGAGUGCAGAUGGCCAGCAACACUGAACACAACACACUAAGGCACAAAAAAGCCAGUUGCUUUGCUGUAUAAAGGCUAUCC